UACGUAGGUGACCAGCGUUGUCCGGAUUUACUGGGCGUAAAGAGCGCGCAGGCGGUCGUUCAAGUCGAGUGUGAAAGCCCCCGGCUCAACUGGGGAGGGUCAUUCGAUACUGAUCGACUUGAAGGCAGGAGAGGGAAGCGGAAUUCCUGGUGUAGCGGUGAAAUGCGUAGAGAUCGGGAGGAACACCAGUGGCGAAGGCGACUGCCUGGGGAGUAACUGACGCUGAGGCGCGAAAGCUGGGGGAGCAAACGGG
rnacentral:rRNA from 1 species